rnacentral:sRNA from 1 species
UGAGCGGUCUCGAACGCCGUGGUCCACAG